rnacentral:rRNA from 1 species
CAUGGCUGUUGUCAGCUCGUGUCGUGAGAUGUUGGUUAAGUCCCGCAACGAGCGCAACCUUUGUCACUAGUUGCCACCAUUGAGUUGGGCACUCUAGUGAGACUGCCGGUGACAAACCGGAGGAAGGUGGGAUGACGUCAAGUCCUCAUGGCCCUUAUGGGUAGGGCUUCACACGUCAUACAAUGGUCGGUACAGAGGGUUGCCAAACCGCGAGGUGGAGCCAAUCCCUUAAAGCCGAUCGUAGUCCGGAUCGUAGUCUGCAACUCGACUACGUGAAGUCGGAAUCGCUAGUAAUCGCAGAUCAGCAUGCUGCGGUGAAUACGUUCCCGGGUCUU